AAUAGAUACCCAGGUAGUCCAUGCCGUAAACGGUGGGCGCUAGGUGUGGGGGUCUUCCACGACUUCUGUGCCGUAGCUAACGCAUUAAGCGCCCCGCCUGGGGAGUACGGCCGCAAGGCUAAAACUCAAAGGAAUUGACGGGGGCCCGCACAAGCGGCGGAGCAUGUGGAUUAAUUCGAUGCAACGCGAAGAACCUUACCUGGGCUUGACAUACGCCGGAUCGCCGCAGAGAUGUGGUUUCCCUUGUGGCCGGUGUACAGGUGGUGCAUGGUUGUCGUCAGCUCGUGUCGUGAGAUGUUGGGUUAAGUCCCGCAACGAGCGCAACCCUCGUUCUAUGUUGCCAGCGGUUCGGCCGGGGACUCAUAGAAGACUGCCGGGGUCAACUCGGAGGAAGGUGGGGAUGACGUCAAGUCAUCAUGCCCCUUAUGUCUAGGGCUGCACGCAUGCUACAAUGGUCGGUACAAAGGGCUGCGAUACCGUAAGGUGGAGCGAAUCCCAAAAGCCGGCUCAGUUCGGAUUGGGGUCUGCAACUCGACCCC
rnacentral:rRNA from 1 species